rnacentral:rRNA from 1 species
UGCGAGUCAUAUGUAGCAAUACAUGGCGUACUGCUCAUGUAACACGUGGAUAACCUGCCCUUGGGACCGGCAUAACCCCGGGAAACUGGGGAUAAUUCCGGAUAACGCAUAUUUGCUGGAAUGCUUUAUGCGUCAAAAGGAUUCGUCUGCCCAAGGAUGGGUCUGCGGCCUAUCAGGUAGUAUUGGGUGUAAUGUACCUACUAGCCAGCGACGGGUACGGGUUGUGAGUGCAAGAGCCCGGAGAUGGAUUCUGAGACAUGAAUCCAGGCCCUACGGGGCGCAUCAGGCGCGAAAACUUUACAAUGCGGGAAACCGUGAUAAGGGGACACCGAGUGCCAGCAUCAUAUGCUGGCUGUCCGGAUGUGUAAAAUACAUCCGUUAGCAAGGGCCGGGCAAGACCGGUGCCAGCCGCCGCGGUAACACCGGCGGCCCGAGUGGUGAUCGUGAUUAUUGGGUCUAAAGGGUCCGUA